AACCAGUUGUCAUCGUCCGCUUUGGGUCUCGUCUACCUACCAUCACGUCUCCUAGUCGCCAUCAAAGGUUUCACAACCCACCCCAGAGCACCUCCUCACUAAGUCCGAGAUGUGGCGUAAAAUUGACCAUCGUUCUUCUUCUAACAAUGGCAUGUCAACCCUGCUUAACUAGUAGCUCUUAACUAUCUCUUUUCAAUUAAACUUAGACAUAUAAUGUAACGCCCCAAAGUUUCGAGGUAUGUUCUCAACAUACCUACUUUAUGUUACUGAGAAUUUAAAAUUUGUUAGGUGUCGUGUUAUUUAAGUUUAAAGAGGAAAAGAAAAGAAAAAGGAGAAUAUAAGUUUUAUAAUCAUCAUCAUCAUCAUUAUUAUUCCUGUUCCAUCGGUCGUCCCGUCACGACUUCGUUCGCCCGCACCCAAGCCAUCUCCUCUCCUCGACCAAGCCGCACUUGACUCUUCCUUGCUCGUCGUUGCACAACUCACUUAGUGUUUUGUUGUCUUCGCCUCGUUUUAAGUUUAGUGUUUGAUUCUUGAAGGUGUUGGAGUCGAGUUCUUGGAAUAUACCACAGGUUUGGUUGGAGUUCGAUUCUCCGUUUACUUGGGUCGAUUUUUUGGACUUCAACUUGAUUAAGGAACAUAGCUAAAUAUAAGGCAAAGUUAAUGCGAGAGGUAGACCAGCAAGGGACAAUAAAGAUUCAUGAAUGUCAUAUGGGAAUGCUUAUUUUUAAUGCUUUCGCUUAAUGUCUUUGUUAUUUCUGUUUUGAGGAUUUUGAAUUGAGUUAUGAUUAGGACAUCUAUUUAUUUUGUUUUGUUUUAAUGGUUUCAUAGACGAUGUCCUAAAUUCUUGAAAUUGUUUGACAUAGGGCCCGAAGACAGUUUCUUUAUUUCUGAUGUUUAAUGAUUUUAAACAAGUUUUAUGAAAUCAUUUGGAUGAA